rnacentral:rRNA from 1 species
AAAGUUGCGCUAAUACCGCAUACGAUCUAAGGAUGAAAGCAGGGGACCGCAAGGCCUUGUGCUCCUGGAGCGGCCGAUAUCUGAUUAGCUAGUUGGUGGGGUAAAGGCCUACCAAGGCAUCGAUCAGUAGCUGGUCUGAGAGGACGACCAGCCACACUGGAACCGAGACACGGUCCAGACUCCUACGGGAGGCAGCAGUGGGGAAUUUUGGACAAUGGGCGCAAGCCUGAUCCAGCAAUGCCGCGUGAGUGAAGAAGGCCUUCGGGUUGUAAAGCUCUUUUGUCAGGGAAGAAACGGUAUGGGCUAAUAUCCCGUACUAAUGACGGUACCUGAAGAAUAAGCACCGGCUAACUACGUGCCAGCAGCCGCGGUAAUACGUAGGGUGCAAGCGUUAAUCGGAAUUACUGGGCGUAAAGCGUGCGCAGGCGGUUUUAUAAGUUUGUCGUGAAAGCCCCGGGCUCAACCUGGGAAUGGCGAUGAAGACUGUAAGGCUAGAGUGUGUCAGAGGGGGGUAGAAUUCCACGUGUAGCAGUGAAAUGCGUAGAUAUGUGGAGGAACACCGAUGGCGAAGGCAGCCCCCUGGGAUAACACUGACGCUCAUGCACGAAAGCGUGGGGAGCAAACAGGAUUAGAUACCCUGGUAGUCCACGCCCUAAACGAUGUCUACUAGUUGUCGGGUCUUAAUUGACUUGGUAACGCAGCUAACGCGUGAAGUAGACCGCCUGGGGAGUACGGUCGCAA